AUGGCGGUAACUGCCCCUCCAGCGGAGCUGUUCAACGCCGCAGCAGGGGCCUACCACGGCUCCAGCAAGGUGUAUGCGCUUCUCACGGGGUGCAAUAGCGGUGGUGACCUGGGAGGCGGCGGAGGUGCUGCUAGCAGGGAGCGGCGGCGGCGGCGACCACCCCUCCAGUGGAGCUGUUCAAAGCCGCGGCAUGGGCCUACAAUGGCUCCGGCACGUUGCCUGCGCGGAGGCCUACCACGGCGCCGCAAUUUCCUCUGGCACGUCGACAAGGUGGGCUUCUACCUCGGUGCCAUCUUCGGCAACGUCGAGAUGGGGAUUGUGGUGGCCAUGCUCAUCUCACUGUUGCGGGUGCUGCUCUUCGUGGCACGGCCGAGGACGGCGGUUAUGGGCAACGUGCCAGAGACGACCAUCUACCGGCGGAUGGACCAGUACACGACGUGCUCGUGUUGUGUGUGGAAUCGACCAUCUACUUCGCCAACUACGGCAACCUGUGCGAGAGGAUCACCUGGUGGAUUGACGACGACGACGAACAGACCUCAUCCUCGACAUGGGUGGUAUACAACAACUUGGUCUGAAAUUUUGCCCACAGCUGACCAUCUCAAGCAGAGCAUGUAUGAAACUUGUCUUUCUGGACACAGCAAUCGGCAACAUCGACACCGGUGGUAUGAGUAUGCAUUUCGACAUGGCAAAUUUUGUGUGGAAGAUGGUAACUUAGAGAAUUUAAAUUUCAGUUUGCAACCAAAUUUAGAUAGUUCAUUUCCACAUGGCAAUUUUUUUUCUUCGAUCCGGCAUCUCGGACACCUCCAAUUUGUCUACGAUGUAUCAGCUGCAGGAUAUGAAUUCCCUAGUGUUUUUGUGUCCAGCCAUUGCGCAUUGCUGCAACAUUUUUUGUAG
rnacentral:rRNA from 1 species